AAACAGCUAUGACCAUGAUUACGCCAAGCUUGUACCGAGCUCGGAUCCACUAGUAACGGCCGCCAGUGUGCUGGAAUUCGCCCUUAGAGUUUGAUCAUGGCUCAGAACGUACGCUGGCGGCACGCCUAAUACAUGCAAGUCGAACGAAGUAGCAAUACUUAGUGGCAGACGGGUGAGUAACAUGUAGGUAUCUUCCCUUUGGUGAGGAAUAACACGAGGAAACUUGUGCUAAUACCUCACAAGUCUUUACGGAGAAAGCUUUAUGCGCCAAUGGAUGAGCCUGCACUUGAUUAGUUUGUUGGUAGGGUAAUGGCCUACCAAGACUGUGAUCAAUAGCUGAUUUGAGAGGAUGAUCAGCCACAUUGGGACUGAGACACGGCCCAAACUCCUACGGGAGGCAGCAGUAGGGAAUCUUGCACAAUGGAGGAAACUCUGAUGCAGCGAUGCCGCGUGAGUGAAGAAGGCCUUUGGGUUGUAAAGCUCUUUCGUCGGGGAAGAAAAUGACUGUACCCGAAUAAGAAGGUCCGGCUAACUUCGUGCCAGCAGCCGCGGUAAUACGAAGGGACCUAGCGUAGUUCGGAAUUACUGGGCUUAAAGAGUUCGUAGGUGGUUAAAAAAGUUGGUGGUGAAAUCCCAGAGCUUAACUCUGGAACUGCCAUCAAAACUUUUUAGCUAGAGUAUGAUAGAGGAAAGCAGAAUUUCUAGUGUAGAGGUGAAAUUCGUAGAUAUUAGAAAGAAUACCGAUUGCGAAGGCAGCUUUCUGGAUCAUUACUGACACUGAGGAACGAAAGCAUGGGUAGCGAAGAGGAUUAGAUACCCUCGUAGUCCAUGCCGUAAACGAUGUGUGUUAGACGUUGGAAAUUUAUUUUCAGUGUCGCAGCGAAAGCAAUAAACACACCGCCUGGG
rnacentral:rRNA from 1 species